AUUCCAGCUCCAAUAGCGUAUAUUUAAGUUGUUGCAGUUAAAAAGCUCGUAGUUGGAUUUCGGAUGGGAUCUGCCGGUCCGCCCUUGAGGUGUGUACUGGUAGGUCCUAUCUUGUUGUCGGGGACUAGCUCCUGGGCUUCACUGUCCGGGACUAGGAGCCGACGAAGUUACUUUGAGUAAAUUAGAGUGUUCAAAGCAAGCCUACGCUCCGAAUAUAUCAGCAUGGAAUAACACGAUAGGACUCUGGCUUAUCUUGUUGGUCUGUGAGACCAGAGUAAUGAUUAAGAGGGACAGUCGGGGACAUUCGUAUUUCAUUGUCAGAGGUGAAAUUCUUGGAUUUAUGAAAGACGAACUUCUGCGAAAGCAUUUGUCAAGGAUGUUUUCAUCG
rnacentral:rRNA from 1 species